rnacentral:rRNA from 2 species
UGAUUUACAUUUGAGUGAGUGGCGAACUGGUGAGUAACACGUGGGAAACCUGCCCAGAAGCGGGGGAUAACACCUGGAAACAGAUGCUAAUACCGCAUAACAACUUGGACCGCAUGGUCCGAGUUUGAAAGAUGGCUUCGGCUAUCACUUUUGGAUGGUCCCGCGGCGUAUUAGCUAGAUGGUGGGGUAACGGCUCACCAUGGCAAUGAUACGUAGCCGACCUGAGAGGGUAAUCGGCCACAUUGGGACUGAGACACGGCCCAAACUCCUACGGGAGGCAGCAGUAGGGAAUCUUCCACAAUGGACGAAAGUCUGAUGGAGCAACGCCGCGUGAGUGAAGAAGGGUUUCGGCUCGUAAAACUCUGUUGUUAAAGAAGAACAUAUCUGAGAGUAACUGUUCAGGUAUUGACGGUAUUUAACCAGAAAGCCACGGCUAACUACGUGCCAGCAGCCGCGGUAAUACGUAGGUGGCAAGCGUUGUCCGGAUUUAUUGGGCGUAAAGCGAGCGCAGGCGGUUUUUUAAGUCUGAUGUGAAAGCCUUCGGCUCAACCGAAGAAGUGCAUCGGAAACUGGGAAACUUGAGUGCAGAAGAGGACAGUGGAACUCCAUGUGUAGCGGUGAAAUGCGUAGAUAUAUGGAAGAACACCAGUGGCGAAGGCGGCUGUCUGGUCUGUAACUGACGCUGAGGCUCGAAAGUAUGGGUAGCAAACAGGAUUAGAUACCCUGGUAGUCCAUACCGUAAACGAUGAAUGCUAAGUGUUGGGAGGGUUUCCGCCUUUCAGUGCUGCAGCUAACGCAUUAAGCAUUCCG